rnacentral:sRNA from 1 species
UGAUAAAACUGACAGCAGAAGGGGUAUC